rnacentral:rRNA from 1 species
AGCGAACGCUGGCGGCAGGCUUAACACAUGCAAGUCGAGCGGGCACUUUCGGGUGUCAGCGGCGGACGGGUGCGUAACGCGUGGGAACGUGCCCUCUGGUUCGGAAUAACUCAGGGAAACUUGAGCUAAUACCGGAUACGCCCUUUUGGGGAAAGGCUUGCUGCCGGAGGAUCGGCCCGCGUCUGAUUAGCUAGUUGGUGAGGUAACGGCUCACCAAGGCGACGAUCAGUAGCUGGUCUGAGAGGAUGAUCAGCCACACUGGGACUGGGACACGGCCCAGACUCCUACGGGAGGCAGCAGUGGGGAAUAUUGGACAAUGGGCGCAAGCCUGAUCCAGCCAUGCCGCGUGAGUGAUGAAGGCCUUAGGGUUGUAAAGCUCUUUUAUCCGGGACGAUAAUGACGGUACCGGAGGAAUAAGCCCCGGCUAACUUCGUG